rnacentral:rRNA from 1 species
AUUGAACGCUGGCGGCAUGCCUUACACAUGCAAGUCGAACGGCAGCACGGGAGCAAUCCUGGUGGCGAGUGGCGAACGGGUGAGUAAUAUAUCGGAACGUGCCCAGUAGUGGGGGAUAACUGCUCGAAAGAGCAGCUAAUACCGCAUACGACCUGAGGGUGAAAGGGGGGGAUCGCAAGACCUCUCGCUAUUGGAGCGGCCGAUAUCAGAUUAGCUAGUUGGUGGGGUAAAGGCCUACCAAGGCAACGAUCUGUAGUUGGUCUGAGAGGACGACCGGCCACACUGGGACUGAGACACGGCCCAGACGCCUACGGGAGGCAGCAGUGGGGAAUUUUGGACAAUGGGCGCAAGCCUGGUCCAGCAAUGCCGCGUGCAGGAAGAAGGCCUUCGGGUUGUAAACUGCUUUUGUCAGGGAAGAAAUCCUCUAGGUUAAUACCCUUGGGGGGAUGACGGUACCUGAAGAAUAAGCACCGGCUAACUACGUGCCAGCAGCCGCCGCCGUAA